rnacentral:rRNA from 1 species
AGAGUUUGAUUCUGGCUCAGAACGAACGCUGGCGGCAGGCUUAACACAUGCAAGUCGAACGCCCCGCAAGGGGAGUGGCAGACGGGUGAGUAACGCGUGGGAAUCUACCCUUUUCUACGGAACAACUGAGGGAAACUUCAGCUAAUACCGUAUACGGCCGAGAGGCGAAAGAUUUAUCGGAGAAGGAUGAGCCCGCGUUGGAUUAGCUAGUUGGUGGGGUAAAGGCCUACCAAGGCGACGAUCCAUAGCUGGUCUGAGAGGAUGAUCAGCCACACUGGGACUGAGACACGGCCCAGACUCCUACGGGAGGCAGCAGUGGGGAAUAUUGGACAAUGGGCGCAAGCCUGAUCCAGCCAUGCCGCGUGAGUGAUGAAGGCCCUAGGGUUGUAAAGCUCUUUCACCGGUGAAGAUAA